AUUUUAGAUAGGAAAUUGAAAGAGGAGGGAAAGAAUGAUGACAGAACUGAAGAAGAAUUGAUGAAAGGGUCAAAAAGCUAAAGAACUUUGAGAAAUGGAUUUUAUGUGCAGUCAACAAUGCCUUCAGCUAAUUUAACCAAAUCAACAAAGCCAUUAAAAUGUAUAAUGAUUUUUAUUUUGCUACAAAUCUAUGUAGAAUGAAAGAUACCUUGUGAAAUGCAAAAUCUUCCAUAUUUGGGAUCUAAGCACCUGCAUAGAUGUUUGAGAAAACGGAAGGUGGCUAUUCUUUUAUUGAAUGCUUUUAGAACAUAAUGCUACUCCCCCCUGCUCACUCCACCGCAAUAAACACUUUAUUCACUCUGGAUGCCCUCAAUUUCCCC
rnacentral:lncRNA from 1 species